CUUAAAUAGGGAAGUCUCCUGCUUGUGUGUGGUGGCUGUUGCUACAAGAGACUUGGGACAGAGGACUGCUGUCUGCUCUCUCCGGCCACCCUCCUAGCCUAAGGAUCUGUGACCCCAGCAUGAGGACCCUCGCCCUCCUCGCUGCCCUUGUCCUGGUGACCCUCCAGGCCCAGGCUGGGCCCCUGCAAGAGAGAGAAGAGGAGAUCCCAGCCCUGGAGCUGCCUGGGGCACAGGACCCUGAUGUGUCCAUUUCCAUCACAUGGGGGGAAAACUCCCUUCCUCAAGCUCCAGCGAGGAGAAUGUACUGCGCUUGCAGACCAUUCUGCUUUCCCUGGGAACAUCGCAGAGGGAGCUGCCUGCGGUUCUUCUCAUCCUGCUGCACCUGAGCGUGGAAAAAUAGAGAAAAAGCAGUUCAUCCUUCUCUUGGAGAGCUAAACCACAUUGCUGUCACUCCUCUGCCUUGUCCUCAAUUUGCUUUCUCUUCCCAAAUAAAGCCCUUGUUGCAAGA